AUGAACGCUAGCGGGAGGCCUAACACAUGCAAGCCGAGCGGUAGAGAUUCUUCGGAAUCUUGAGAGCGGCGUACGGGUGCGGAACACGUGUGCAACCUGCCUUUAUCAGGGGGAUAGCCUUUCGAAAGGAAGAUUAAUACCCCAUAAUAUAUUUGAUGGCAUCAUUAGAUAUUGAAAGCUUUGGCGGAUAGAGAUGGGCACGCGCAAGAUUAGAUAGUUGGUGAGGUAACGGCUCACCAAGUCGAUGAUCUUUAGGGGGCCUGAGAGGGUGAUCCCCCACACUGGUACUGAGACACGGACCAGACUCCUACGGGAGGCAGCAGUGAGGAAUAUUGGACAAUGGGUUAGCGCCUGAUCCAGCCAUCCCGCGUGAAGGACGACGGCCCUAUGGGUUGUAAACUUCUUUUGUACAGGGAUAAACCUACUCUCGUGAGAGUAGCUGAAGGUACUGUACGAAUAAGCACCGGCUAACUCCGUG
rnacentral:rRNA from 1 species